rnacentral:rRNA from 1 species
CGGGUAGCCGGCCUGAGAGGGUGACCGGCCACACUGGGACUGAGAUACGGCCCAGACUCCUACGGGAGGCAGCAGUGGGGAAUAUUGCACAAUGGGCGCAAGCCUGAUGCAGCGACGCCGCGUGGGGGAUGACGGCCUUCGGGUUGUAAACCCCUUUCGCUCACGACGAAGCGCAAGUGACGGUAGUGAGAGAAGAAGGACCGGCCAACUACGUGCCAGCAGCCGCGGUAAUACGUAGGGUCCGAGCGUUGUCCGGAAUUACUGGGCGUAAAGAGCUCGUAGGUGGUUUGUCGCGUUGUUCGUGAAAACUCACAGCUUAACUGUGGGCGUGCGGGCGAUACGGGCAGACUGGAGUACUGCAGGGGAGACUGGAAUUCCUGGUGUAGCGGUGGAAUGCGCAGAUAUCAGGAGGAACACCGGUGGCGAAGGCGGGUCUCUGGGCAGUAACUGACGCUGAGGAGCGAAAGCGUGGGGAGCGAACAGGAUUAGAUACCCUGGUAGUCCACGCCGUAAACGGUGGGUACUAGGUGUGGGUUUCCUUCCUUGGGAUCCGUGCCGUAGCUAACGCAUUAAGUACCCCGCCUGGGGGAGUACGGA